CGUAGGUGGCAAGCGUUGUCCGGAAUUACUGGGUGUAAAGGGCGUGUAGGCGGGAAGGUAAGUCAGAUGUGAAAUUCCGGGGCUCAACCCCGGCACUGCAUCUGAAACUAUUUUUCUUGAGUGCUGGAGAGGAAAGCGGAAUUCCUAGUGUAGCGGUGAAAUGCGUAGAUAUUAGGAGGAACACCAGUGGCGAAGGCGGCUUUCUGGACAGUAACUGACGCUGAGGCGCGAAAGCGUGGGGAGCAAACAGGAUUAGAUACCCUGGUAGUCCACGCUGUAAACGAUGGAUACUAGGUGUAGGAGGUAUCGACCCCUUCUGUGCCGCAGUUAACACAAUAAGUAUCCCACCUGGGGAGUACGGCCGCAAGGUUG
rnacentral:rRNA from 1 species